GAGUUUGAUCGUGGCUCAGAUUGAACGCUGGCGGCAUGCCUUACACAUGCAAGUCGAACGGUAACAGGUCUUCGGAUGCUGACGAGUGGCGAACGGGUGAGUAAUACAUCGGAACGUGCCCGAUCGUGGGGGAUAACGGAGCGAAAGCUUUGCUAAUACCGCAUACGAUCUACGGAUGAAAGUAGGGACCGCAAGGCCUUGCGCGGACGGAGCGGCCGAUGGCAGAUUAGGUAGUUGGUGGGAUAAAAGCUUACCAAGCCGACGAUCUGUAGCUGGUCUGAGAGGACGACCAGCC
rnacentral:rRNA from 1 species